GAAGAGGAAAGUGGAAUUCCAUGUGUAGCGGUGAAAUGCGUAGAUAUAUGGAGGAACACCAGUGGCGAAGGCGACUUUCUGGUCUGUAACUGACGCUGAGGCUCGAAAGCAUGGGGAGCAAACAGGAUUAGAUACCCUGGUAGUCCAUGCCGUAAACGAUGAGUGCUAAGUGUUGGAGGGUUUCCGCCUUUCAGUGCUGCAGCUAACGCAUUAAGCACUCCGCCUGGGGAGUACGACCGCAAGGUUGAAACUCAAAGGAAUUGACGGGGGCCCGCACAAGCGGUGGAGCAUGUGGUUUAAUUCGAAGCAACGCGAAGAACCUUACCAGGUCUUGACAUCCUUUGACCACUCUAGAGAUAGAGCUUUCCCUUCGGGGACAAAGUGACAGGUGGUGCAUGGUUGUCGUCAGCUCGUGUCGUGAGAUGUUGGGUUAAGUCCCGCAACGAGCGCAACCCUUAUUAUUAGUUGCCAGCAUUCAGUUGGGCACUCUAGUGAGACUGCCGGUGAUAAACCGGAGGAAGGUGGGGAUGACGUCAAAUCAUCAUGCCCCUUAUGACCUGGGCUACACACGUGCUACAAUGGAUGGUACAACGAGUCGCAAAACCGCGAGGUUAAGCUAAUCUCUUAAAGCCAUUCUCAGUUCGGAUUGUAGGCUGCAAUUCGCCUACAUGAAGCCGGAAUCGCUAGUAAUCGCGGAUCAGAACGCCGCGGUGAAUACGUUCCCGGGCCUUGUACACACCGCCCGUCACACCACGAGAGUUUGUAACACCCAAAGUCGGUGAGGUAACCUUCGGGAGCCAGCCGCCUAAGGUGGGACAGAUAAUUGGGGUG
rnacentral:rRNA from 1 species